AUUGAACGCUGGCGGCAGGCCUAACACAUGCAAGUCGAACGAGUGGCGGACGGGUGAGUAAUGUCUGGGAAACUGCCCGAUGGAGGGGGAUAACUACUGGAAACGGUAGCUAAUACCGCAUACCAUCGGAUGUGCCCAGAUGGGAUUAGCUAGUAGGUGGGGUAACGGCUCACCUAGGCGACGAUCCCUAGCUGGUCUGAGAGGAUGACCAGCCACCCUGGAACUGAGACACGGGCCAGACUCCUACGGGAGGCAGCAGUGGGGGAUAUUGCACAAUGGGCGAAAGCCUGAUGCAGCGACGCCGCGUGGGGGAUGAAGGCUUUCGGGUUGUAAAGCACUUUCAGCGAGGAGGCGUUACUCGCAGAAGAAGCACCGGCUAACUCCGUGCCAGCAGCCGCGGUAAUUC
rnacentral:rRNA from 1 species